rnacentral:rRNA from 1 species
UAGAGUUUGAUUCAUGGCUCAGAGUGAACGCUGGCGGCGUGCCUAAUACAUGCAAGUCGAACGAUGAAGCUUCUAGCUUGCUAGAAGUGGAUUAGUGGCGCACGGGUGAGUAACGCAUAGGUCAUGCGCCUCUUAGUUUGGGAUAGCCAUUGGAAACGAUGAUUAAUACCAGAUACUCCCUACGGGGGAAAGAUUUAUCGCUAAGAGAUCAGCCUAUGUCCUAUCAGCUUGUUGGUAAGGUAAUGGCUUACCAAGGCUAUGACGGGUAUCCGGCCUGAGAGGGUGAACGGACACACUGGAACUGAGACACGGUCCAGACUCCUACGGGAGGCAGCAGUAGGGAAUAUUGCUCAAUGGGGGAAACCCUGAAGCAGCAACGCCGCGUGGAGGAUGAAGGUUUUAGGAUUGUAAACUCCUUUUGUUAGAGAAGAUAAUGACGGUAUCUAACGAAUAAGCACCGGCUAACUCCGUGCCAGCAGCCGCGGUAAUACGGAGGGUGCAAGCGUUACUCGGAAUCACUGGGCGUAAAGAGCGCGUAGGCGGGAUAGUCAGUCAGGUGUGAAAUCCUAUGGCUUAACCAUAGAACUGCAUUUGAAACUACUAUUCUAGAGUGUGGGAGAGGUAGGUGGAAUUCUUGGUGUAGGGGUAAAAUCCGUAGAGAUCAAGAGGAAUACUCAUUGCGAAGGCGACCUGCUGGAACAUUACUGACGCUGAUUGCGCGAAAGCGUGGGGAGCAAACAGGAUUAGAUACCCUGGUAGUCCACGCCCUAAACGAUGGAUGCUAGUUGUUGGAGGGCUUAGUCUCUCCAGUAAUGCAGCUAACGCAUUAAGCAUCCCGCCUGGGGAGUACGGUCGCAAGAUUAAAACUCAAAGGAAUAGACGGGGACCCGCACAAGCGGUGGAGCAUGUGGUUUAAUUCGAAGAUACACGAAGAACCUUACCUAGGCUUGACAUUGAGAGAAUCCGCUAGAAAUAGUGGAGUGUCUAGCUUGCUAGACCUUGAAAACAGGUGCUGCACGGCUGUCGUCAGCUCGUGUCGUGAGAUGUUGGGUUAAGUCCCGCAACGAGCGCAACCCCCUUUCUUAGUUGCUAACAGGUUAUGCUGAGAACUCUAAGGAUACUGCCUCCGUAAGGAGGAGGAAGGUGGGGACGACGUCAAGUCAUCAUGGCCCUUACGCCUAGGGCUACACACGUGCUACAAUGGGGUGCACAAAGAGAAGCAAUACUGCGAAGUGGAGCCAAUCUUCAAAACACCUCUCAGUUCGGAUUGUAGGCUGCAACUCGCCUGCAUGAAAGCGUGGAAUCGCUAGUAAUCGCAAAUCAGCCAUGUUGCGGUGAAUACGUUCCCGGGUCUUGUACUCACCGCCCGUCACACCAUGGGAGUUGUGUUUGCCUUAAGUCAGGAGUGCUAAAUUGGCUACUGCCCACGGCACACACAGCGACUGGGGUGAAGUCGUAACAAGGUAACCGUA